GCACAAGCGGUGGAGCAUGUGGUUUAAUUCGAUGCAACGCGAAGAACCUUACCUGGUCUUGACAUCCACGGAAGUUUUCAGAGAUGAGAAUGUGCCUUCGGGAACCGUGAGACAGGUGCUGCAUGGCUGUCGUCAGCUCGUGUUGUGAAAUGUUGGGUUAAGUCCCGCAACGAGCGCAACCCUUAUCCUUUGUUGCCAGCGGUCCCGGGAACUCAAAGGAGACUGCCAGUGAUAAACUGGAGGAAGGUGGGGAUGACGUCAAGUCAUCAUGGCCCUUCGACCAGGGCUACACACGUGCUACAAUGGCGCAUACAAAGAGAAGCGACCUCGCGAGAGCAAGCGAACCUCAUAAAGUGCGUCGUAGUCCGGAUUGGAGUCUGCAACUCGACUCCAUGAAGUCGGAAUCGCUAGUAAUCGUGGAUCAGAAUGCCACGGUGAAUACGUUCCCGGGC
rnacentral:rRNA from 1 species